UACGUACGAGGCGAGCGUUAUCCGGAAUACUGGGCGUAAAGCGCGCGCAGGUGGCGAUGUAAGUGAGACGUGAAAUCUCCCGGCCUAACUGGGAGGGGUCGUUUCAGACUGCAUGGCUUGAGGACUGCAGAGGUGGGUGGAAUUCCUGGUGUAGUGGUGAAAUGCGUAGAGAUCAGGAGGAACACCGGUGGCGAAGGCGGCCCACUGGGCAGUCACUGACGCUGAGGCGCGAAAGCGUGGGAGCGAAGCGG
rnacentral:rRNA from 1 species